AGCGAACGCUGGCGGCAGGCCUAACACAUGCAAGUCGAACGGAUCCUUCGGGAUUAGUGGCGGACGGGUGAGUAACACGUGGGAACGUGCCCUUUGGUUCGGAACAACUCAGGGAAACUUGAGCUAAUACCGGAUGUGCCCUUCGGGGGAAAGAUUUAUCGCCAUUGGAGCGGCCCGUCUCUGAUUAGCUAGUUGGUGAGGUAAAGGCUCACCAAGGCGACGAUCAGUAGCUGGUCUGAGAGGAUGACCAGCCACAUUGGGACUUAGACACGGCCCAAAGUACUACGUGAGGCAGCAGUGGGGACUCUUGCGCAAUGUUCUAAAGCCUGACGCAGCCAUGCCGCGUGAAUGAUGAAUGUCUUAGGAUUGUAAAAUUCUUUCACCGGGUACUAUAAUGACGGUACCCGGAGAAGAAGCCCCGGCUAACUUCGUGCCAGCAGCCGCGGUAA
rnacentral:rRNA from 1 species